UGGCGGCUUAGCAUAAUGACACGUGUUGAGUGGGACGCGUGUCACUUUACCCAUCUCCUCUUUCUCUGCUUUUGCUUUGCUUUAGUUUUUUGUCUCCUCUUCCAGACUCCUCCAUCCUUAUUCCUCAACUUUGGACAACAUCUCCUCCGCUCCAUCUCCUAGCUAUCUUUUUCUCUCUAUUUUUUCUCCGACUUCUUUUUUAUUUGUUAAUAUCGAUUUGUUUCCGUUUAUAAAUGAUUCUCAUCUUUUUUUUUUUGCAGUUUUCUAUGAAGGUUUAUUUGCAGUUUUCUAUGAAGGUUUAGUUGAACAUGGGGAAAUCAAGAGUUGAUGCUCACAGAAAAACUGAUGCGAAGUUGAAGAGUAAACGUGGAGAUGCGAGCAAGGAGGUUGCGAAGGAUCCGAACAAGCUUAAGAGGCCUAUAAAAUUUGAGGCCAAAGUUGUUCGCUUUUUUAGUUUCUGCUGCUGCUCGGCUGCCUUCAGACUAUGUCGAAACACUGUCUUUCUGCAUGCAACUGAGCUUCUCAAUUUCUUAAUUUCUAAACAUUUGAGAAACUUGGUUGCAAGAAAAAGUUGGAAGGGCAACAUAAUUGGAAAAUUGGGUUACAACAAUCACCCUCUAAACUGCAGAGGAGUCUGCAUUUGAAGUUCUUUUCGACUGGGAUGAGAAGAUUGGAGCCCCGAGAGCAUUCAUAAUUAGAAAUGAGCAUCAGAAUCUUCUUUGGUUCCUAUGCUAGCUUUGUGUGUCUCCAUCUCCAAAUAAUUUAGUUGAAAAUCACUAAUACGCAUGCAAAUUUGAAAGGGUUUUGAUCUUUCGAUGAGUUUAAAAUGUUUGUUGGUGGUGGUUGUAUUGCUGUCAAAUAUUUGUUGGAUAGUUUGGAAUGGAGAAGUUCGUUGAUUUAGAGAAACUGAAUACACAAGGAAUUUGGAAGAGUUUUUGGUCUUAUAUUGGUUUAACUACUUUUUUGACAAUCACGAGUACUGGAGGGAACUUUUGGUGUUCCAUUGAACAAUUUUUGUCAUAUUUUAUCAAUGUAAAUGACACAAUAUUUCUUAACGGUUUUUUGCAUGUAAAUA